AGGGUUCGAUCAUGGCUCAGGACGAACGCUGGCGGCGUGCCUAAUACAUGCAAGUCGAACGAACCGCGACUGAGUGCUUGCACUUGGUCAAGGUGAGUGGCGAACGGGUGAGUAACACGUGGGUAACCUACCUCAUAGUGGGGGAUAACAGUCGGAAACGACUGCUAAUACCGCAUAGGACAUGGAAUCACAUGAUUCAGUGAGGAAAGGUGGCGCAAGCUAUCGCUAAGAGAUGGACCCGCGGUGCAUUAGCUAGUUGGUAGGGUAACGGCCUACCAAGGCGAUGAUGCAUAGCCGACCUGAGAGGGUGAUCGGCCACAUUGGGACUGAGACACGGCCCAA
rnacentral:rRNA from 1 species